CUGAGUAGGACUCAGGGGUCACUUCCUUCGGGGAGGAUUUGUGCUCAGAACCCUGGAAUAGCAGGACAGCGCCAAGGCCACACAGAGACUCACUCUGGACAGAGUGUGCCUAACUGCAGAUGGAGCCUGAACCCUGCGCUGCAGAAACACUGAGUGCGAGGCCAGACCAGAGGAAAAUGAUCAGUGGAGGAGAUGUGGACUCAGGCUUCCAUUCACGUCAUCUGGCUCAGGAUUUGGGGACUGCAUCCUCAUGCUGAAGACCCCGCCACAGAGGGGGCCCCUGUGGGCAUGGCAGCGAGGGUGGCAGCCGUCUUUGGGAUGGCUCACAAAGCGGACAGAGGAAACAACAAAGACACAGCACGUGGCUCCUGUAAGUCAUUUUACUUUG
rnacentral:lncRNA from 1 species